CUGAGUCGUCGUGCGAGGCCUCCCCGCCCCCUCCGGCCUCCUCCUCGCGGCAGCCUUCACCAGGGGCGCAUGCCUAGCUCCAAGCCGAGUAGCAGCUAGGUGCCUCCCUGCCCCCCCUUAACCUCAGGCGCAUGCCUCCAAGUCGAGCAGCAGCUAGGUGCCGAGCAGCAGCUAGGUGCCGAGUAGCAGCUAGGUGCCGAGUAGCAGCUAGGUGCCUGGCGUGGCGGUGCUGCCGCGGCGCCACGGUUCCACCUGCGCCGCCUCCUCUCACGCUGCCACGCCUGCGCCGCCUCCGCGGCCACGACCGCCGCCGCUACCCCAACCUCGGCCCUGCG
rnacentral:lncRNA from 1 species